rnacentral:misc_RNA from 1 species
CCCAAAGCAAUUUUCAUUGCUCUGUCAAUCUAUUCUUCUCUCUUAUUUGUAAAAGAAUCUUACAAUAUUUAUUUAUUUUUUUUCUUAUGUAGAAGCACAAGCUGUUCACAAUCUCAAUUGCACAACCAAUCAAAAAAAAUACUUGAUGCAUCAUCUGACAAUAUUCUAGAUGCUCUUACUUGGUAGUAUUAGAUUCUUAAAUAUUUCUGAUGGUAGGAUUCAGUUGAAAGUUUUUCCUUUUUCCAUUUUACCUUUCAAAUAGGUGCACCAAUCAUCCACAGAUGCGGCAUCUUCUCUCUUGGUGACAGCCUUGAAUG